UGCUUCCCUUGGCCAAUCACAGUAUAUAAAAGCGCGGGUGAUUUGUCUCUUCAGAACACUACAUAUUUUCACGAUUACUGCCUGCUGCUUUCUGCAGUACUUAAGGGGACAACAUCAUGAGAGUUUGCCAAGGAAUAAGUCUCGCUGUGCUUAUUGGCACUGUCAUAGCGGCGCUAAGUAUGUGCCCUCUUGCAACCAGCCUGGAAGUCAUGUUCAGGCCGCGCACAGAAGAGAUUGAAGAUGCAGCUCAAUAAACCACCGGAACAAUUAAGUUGAGUUUGCCUGUUCAGGAGAACCUAAACGAAAGCUGAAAUGAGCCUUGAAAUAAAGCAUUGAGCCUGAAUA
rnacentral:lncRNA from 1 species